rnacentral:rRNA from 1 species
UACGUAGGGUGCAAGCGUUAAUCGGAAUUACUGGGCGUAAAGCGUGCGCAGGCGGUUUUGUAAGUCUGUCGUGAAAGCCCCGGGCUCAACCUGGGAAUUGCGAUGGAGACUGCAAGGCUUGAAUCUGGCAGAGGGGGGUAGAAUUCCACGUGUAGCGGUGAAAUGCGCAGAUAUCGGGAGGAACACCAGUAGCGAAGGCGGUUGCCUGGAGCUUUGCGUGACGCC